AACUGAACAAUUAUUUUCUUUAUCUUGCUCCACAAUCAUUCUGUUAACCCGUGUCUCUCCCUCAAUCAUAUCAGACAAAUCCCUCUUCCUCUCUCUCUCAUCUUCUCACUCUCUCUCUACAAACCGUACCCUCUCUUCUUCUCUGCAACCAAACACAUCAUCCAAAACGUAUUACAUCGAACUGAAAAUUACCACCAUCGUAAUCCUCACGCCCUCACGAGUUCAUCCAUAUAAACAGAAUCGAAAACAACUGAGUUUCGAACAUCGAACUUGGAAGCUCCGACUCAAAUCAAAUUUUCCUGACGAUUUUCUGAUCGAGUUACAAAGUUUUGGAAGAUCUAGAAGCUACUACACAACUCUCCGAGGUCCCUUCUCUAAUUUUGAACCAAAGCCAACGUGAAAACACACGGAUUCGAGAUGUCGGAAUUUGAGCCGUGCCUUUUGAGCUAUUUUCAGACAAUAUCCGUCCAAUUUUUGGACUUUCCAAAGAAUCUGGCGACCUUCGUGGCUUUCGAGCCAUUUUUCGAUCAAAUCAGGACAAGUUAGCCAUUAAGAAAGUUUGUCCAGUUUUCCGGCGUGUUACCAGUUUCCGACGGACCAGUCCCUUUUAAGGCUUUUUUCCGGUCAUCUACAGCAACCAUUCGGCUUCCAAAUGGUGUAAUUACUAUUGAAGACUUCGACUUUCUUAGCUCGAAAGGAUGUAGCAUCGCAAGUAACUGUGAGUGGAUUUUUUGUUUUUACGUAUACAUGUAUAUAAUUGUAUAUGUGAUUUUCCCAAUAAUUACGUAUAUAUUUAUUACGAAGUGACAUGUCAUGUUUAGCUUCACAAAUAGCCUUUUCAUACAUUAUGUGUUAAAUAAUAUUUGUGAACAUAAACUUGUGGCAUUACAUCCUUGUAUUUUACCUGCUCAUUAUUACAUGGUUGCACGGUGUCUCUUAGAUUUUUAUAUUGUCAUGGGUCAAGGAUCAGCUUUACGUGUAGUUCACAUGCACCGUUUACAUUCGCUUUGGAUCCAGAGUUUGGUUGAAAACAUACACAGCAUAAGCUCGCAGGGUUAGCUCAAGUUCGAGAGCGGUGGGGAACACAUUAAGAUGGGUAUAGGUCAAGCAUUCAAUCCCUUCUAAGCUCCAAUGUAACCGGAAAAGAAGAUCAAAGCUUACAUUACAGGAUUAAUGAAACUUGGCAGGUCAAGACUCGCUUGGAAGAACAUUGAAGAAAUGAUAAACUUCAUCUGCGUUGAUUACACCUACCUCAGUUGAGCAAACUAAGCAGCAAACUUGCUUGACGGUCUGGUUACCUGUAGGAGUUGCUUCAUGCUCCGAAGAUUCUCUCCCUCUUUUGCCCUUUCUAGGUCUUGCUUCUUUUUGAUGCACUAUUUGAUCACUUCCAAUCUU